UACGUAGGGGGGCUAGCGUUGUCCGGAUUUAUUGGGCGUAAAGAGCGUGUAGGCGGCCAGGUAGGUCUGCUGUGAAAACUCGAGGCUCAACCUCGAGACGUCGGCGGAAACCAUCUGGCUAGAGUCCGGAAGAGGAGAGUGGAAUUCCUGGUGUGAGCGGUGAAAUGCGCAGAUAUCAGGAAGAACACCCGUGGCGAAGGCGGCUCUCUGGGACGGUACUGACGCUGAGACGCGAAAAGCGUGGGGAGCGAACAGG
rnacentral:rRNA from 1 species